CGGAACACGUACGCAACUUUCCCAAAACUGGUGAAUAGCCCUCCGAAAGGAGGAUUAAUACACCGUAAGAUAAUGAGAUGGCAUCAUCAUAUUAUUAUAGCUCCGGCGGUUUUGGAUGGGCGUGCGCCUGAUUAGGUAGUUGGCGGGGUAACGGCCCACCAAGCCUGCGAUCAGUAACUGGUGUGAGAGCACGACCAGUCACACGGGCACUGAGACACGGGCCCG
rnacentral:rRNA from 1 species